GAUGAACGCUAGCGGCAGGCUUAAUACAUGCAAGGCGAGGGGGCAGCAAUGUCACCGUCGUACGGGUGCGUAACGCGUAUGCAACCUACCUUUUACUGGGGGAUAGCCCGGGGAAACCCGGAUUAAUACCGCAUAACACAUUUGGAUCACCUGAUUUGAUUUUGUUAAAGAUUUAUUGGUAAGAGAUGGGCAUGCGUUCG
rnacentral:rRNA from 1 species